rnacentral:rRNA from 1 species
CGCCCUUGUGCCAGCCGCCGCGGUAAUACGGAGGGUGCAAGCGUUACUCGGAAUCACUGGGCGUAAAGAGCGUGUAGGCGGAUAGUUAAGUUUGAAGUGAAAUCCAAUGGCUCAACCAUUGAACUGCUUUGAAAACUGAUUAUCUAGAAUAUGGGAGAGGUAGAUGGAAUUUCUGGUGUAGGGGUAAAAUCCGUAGAGAUCAGAAGGAAUACCGAUUGCGAAGGCGAUCUACUGGAACAUUAUUGACGCUGAGACGCGAAAGCGUGGGGAGCAAACAGGAUUAGAUACCCUGGUAGUCCACGCCCUAAACGAUGUACACUAGUUGUUGCUAUGCUAGACAUAGCAGUAAUGCAGUUAACACAUUAAGUGUACCGCCUGGGGAGUACGGUCGCAAGAUUAAAACUCAAAGGAAUAGACGGGGACCCGCACAAGCGGUGGAGCAUGUGGUUUAAUUCGACGAUACGCGAAGAACCUUACCUGGACUUGACAUAGUAAGAAGAUUUAAGAGAUUAGAUUGUGUCUGCUUGCAGAAACUUAUAUACAGGUGCUGCACGGCUGUCGUCAGCUCGUGUCGUGAGAUGUUGGGUUAAGUCCCGCAACGAGCGCAACCCUCGUCCUUAGUUGCUAACAGUUCGGCUGAGAACUCUAAGGAGACUGCCUGGGUAACCAGGAGGAAGGUGAGGACGACGUCAAGUCAUCAU